UGUAAUAAUAAUAAAAAAUGGAAAACUCAAAUCAAAUCCACAGUGCAGUGCCAACUACCAGGAGAUGCCACUGACAACAAGGGAAAUAUUUUUGUUUCGAAGCUUUGGACAUGGUAAAAGUUCACUGCUACUCAGAUAAGGCCUCGUCUCUGGGAUGUCAUCUGAUGACUGACACCUGGGCUGAGUGCAGACAGCCGUUCUUAACCCUGAUAAUGAAGAAGUCAUUUAGUGACGUCAGCUGACAGGCAAUGCUGUCCAAUCAGAUACUGGGGAGGGACAGUCGAGGAGGACAGGAGACUAAACAGAGAGCCGUCACAUGACAGACCAAUGUAGAGGGGCUUUAUAAGACUUUCACACUAAUUUAGGUUAUCAUUUAUAAAUGAUAAGAGUCUCUUUACAAACCAAACACAUUAAUCAGCGGUGUGUCAAGGGUGAGUCCAAAAGUGGGAAUUUAAGACGAUCUAAAUACAAAUAAAAUGAAACAUUCAGGGUUCAAAGAGAAAUGUUUAAGACCUGAAGAGGGAGUCACAACAGCAUGCUAGGGUUAGCACAGGGGACCAAAGUUGUGAAGAAUAUCAAUUAAUCUUCAGCUUUAUUUACUUCACAGAAAACUCCAAAAAGCAGAAGUGGCCCCUUCUGUACCCCCACCACUGAAGGUCACAUUUGACCCCCCACUACUCUGUGUUGGUUCACUCUGCUUGGACUUUGUGUAUUUUGUAAGUUUAUGUUUCAUUUUUUGGCCACACUCUUUUUACAUUUCAUGUCAUUGAUGUUCUCUAAUGUGUGAGUAUAGUUUGACUCUUACAAGGACUUACCUAAAAAGGAUACAUUGGCCAUGAAAUGCAAGAAGGCAGAAAAAUAUAAAAAGUGUAAACCACAAAAUGAAGAGGUGACAUUGAUGAAAUAUGCUCAGUGGCAGAGGUGACGAGGACAAAAUCAGAAAGGACAGCACAGAAAAGGCAGGUACCAACUGAAAACAAAAGAAGAAAGCUGAUUGGUGGAAAGAACUGUCAGUCACUCCUGAGUGGACUGUUGAGGACAGCCGUUGCAUGCAGACUUCAAAGUUCAUGUGUGUUUGAUUUCAAAUCUGUGACCAUGCACUGAAUAAGUCUGUUAUUUAUCAGUUAGCAUGUUCUGAAACUGUAAUGUCAUCACAAAGAUCACACAAACACGUAAUGUGACAUUUGUGAUCAAUCACUUUGUUGAUUUUUAUGGCACCAUUCAUCAGCCCUGUAUAGAGUGCCACUUCCAGAUCGGCAACCCCACUGCACCCCGUAGCACAUUUGGAGUUUGGGACUGGAGCACAAAGUGGAUGGCACUCUGAGAAGGACAGACUUGUAAGACGUGAACAAAGCCAGCUGCCCUCCCUGGUCUGUCUUCAUUCAGAAGGACUCACCUGAGUGGUGGGAUUGUUCUGCGGCGCUCCUGUUAGCCGACAUUUCAUCAGCUUGCUUUCUGCGUUUCAUCUGAUAACAAGUAGAGUUAAUCAAAGAUGAGCCAGGCUUGUUACAAUGUGAACGUUCUUGACAUUUUGUUAUCUUUAAAUAUUUUUUCUGCUUCUUUACUUUGAGUUCUUGUAGGCCUUGUACAUUAGAGAUUAUUAAUACAUGAGCAUUUGGUGUUAAUAAUGAAUUGACAAUUAAUAAACUGUUUUUAUUACUAAA